GCAGGAUGCAAAAUGAAGUGACUUGCCAAACUUUGCCAAGACAAGGAGUUUGACUGUACAACUGUUCUAAUCUAAUCCAAUGGUUGGGUAUCUUCUCUUUUCACAGGAAUUAUUUUAGGGCUUCAC